GGAAUAUUGGACAAUGGGGGCAACCCUGAUCCAGCGACGCCGCGUGGGUGAAGAAGGCCUGCGGGUUGUAAAGCCCUUUCGGUUGGGAAGAAAAGCUGCGACCUAACACGUUGCGGCCUUGACGUAACCAACUAAAGAAGCACCGGCUAACUCUGUGCCAGCAGCCGCGGUAAUACAGAGGGUGCGAGCGUUAAUCGGAAUUCCUGGGAGUAAAGCGCGCGUAGGCGGCUUUGCAAGCCGGAUGUGAAAUCCCCGGGCUUAACCUGGGAACUGCAUUCGGGACUGCAUUGCUAGAGUAUGGGAGAGGGAAGUGGAAUUUCAGGUGUAGCGGCGAAAUGCGUAGAUAUCUGAAGGAACAUCAGUGGCGAAAGCGACUUCCUGGACCAAUACUGACGCUCAUGUGCGAAAGCGUGGGGAGCAAAC
rnacentral:rRNA from 1 species